CUUUUCUGAAAUACUUUUCCUUCUGUUUUUUUAUUUUGUUUAUACUAUCCUUUCUCUUUUUUAGUUUUCUUCAGUUUUUUUCUGCCUGUUUUAAUUUUUUUUUGUUUUUUCUAUAUAUUUAGGGUGUUUUUUCUGAUAUACUUUUCUUUCUGUUUUUUUAAUUUUGUUUAUACUAUCCUUUCUCUUUUUUUAGUUUUCUUUAGUUUUUUGUCUGCCUGUUUUAAGUUUUUUUUAUUAGUUUUUUUAGUUCUUUUUGUUAUAUAUAUUUAGGGUGUUUUUUUUUCGGAAAUAGUUUUCCUUCUGUUUUUUUAUUUUGUUUACACUAUCCUUUCUCCUCUUUUUAGUUCACUUUAGUUUUUUUCUGCCUGUUUUAAGUUUUUUUUUUAGUUUUUUUUAGUUUUUUAAAGUUUUUUUUAGAAAUACUAUUCUUUUUUUUCUUUUUUUAGUUUUCUUUAGUUUUAUUCUGCCUGUUUUUAAGGUUUUUUUUAAGGUUUUUUUCAGUUUUUUGUUAUUUAUAUAUAUAUAUAGGUUGUUUUUUUCUGAAAUACUUUUCCUUCUUUUUUUUAUUUUGUUUAUACUAUCCUUUCUCCUUUUUAGUUUUCUUUAGUUUUUGUCUGCCUGUUAUAAGUUUUUUUUUAGUUUUUUGAAGUUUUUUUUAGAAAUACUAAUCUUCUUUUUAUUAGUUUUCUUUAGUUUUUUUCUGCCUGUUUUAAUUGUUUUGUUUUUUGUUUCCUUUAGUUUUUUUUUCUUCAGUUUUUUUUCCUAUUUUUUUGCCUGGCACCUCUUUCUUGAUGAGCUACUCUUAGUCUGGUCCCUCCCCCAGGACCUGCUGCCUUGGGUAACCUUUCAGAGGCAUAAAGCCCUGACAACAUAGCUCCUGGGAUCAUUGGGACACACAAACCCCUCCACCACGGUAAGGUGGUAGCUCAAGGAGGGGAAAAAACCCUCACAUGGGAGGGAAAAACCGCAAGGGUUUUUUUUUCUGUGCAAAACACCCGGUUUAGGGUGGGUUUUUGUUCUUUUUUUUCGGAAAUACUUUUCAUUUCUUUAGUUUCCUAUAGUUCUUUUUUAUUUUUCUGCCUGUUUUAAGUUUUUUUUCAGAAAUACUGUGAUGUUUCUUUUUUUUUUUUAGUUUUUUUUUUUACGAAUACUAUUCUUUUUCUCAGUUUUCUUUAGUUUUUUUUGUCAUUUAUAAAUAUUAAGGGUUUUCCUUUCUGAAAUACUUUUCCUUCUGUUUUUUUAUUUUGUUUAUACUAUCCUUUCUCUUUUUUAGUUUUCUUUAGUAUUUUCUACCUGUUUUAAGUUUUUUUUUUUUUUUUUUUUUUUUCUAUAUAUUUAGGGUGUUUUUUUCUGAAAUACUUUUCCUUCUGUUUUGUUUUAUUUUGUUUAUACAAUCCUUUCUCUUUUUUAGUUUUCUUUAGUUUUUUUCUGCCUGUUUUAAGUUUUUUUUUUAGUUUUUUUUUGUUUUUUUUCUAUAUAUUUAGGGUGUUUUUUCUGAUAUACUUUUCUUUCUGUUUUUUUUAAUAUUGUUUAUACUAUCAUUUCUCUUUAUUUAGUUUUCUUUAGUUUUUUGUCUGCCUGUUUUAAGAUGUUUUUAUUAGUUUUUUUAGUUCUUUUUGUUAUAUAUAUUUAGGGUGUUUUUUUUCAGAAAUAGUUUUCCUUCUGUUUUUUUUUAUUUUGUUUACACUGUCCUUUCUCUUUUUUUUUAAUUUUCUUUAGUUUUUUGUCUGCCUGUUUUUAGUUUUUUUUUUUAGUUUUUUUUUUAGUUCUUUUUGUAAUAUAUUUAGGGUGUUUUAUCAGAAAUACUUUUCCUUCUGUUUUUUUAUUUUGUUUAUAAUAUCCUUUCUCCUUUUUUAGUUUACUUUAGUUUUUUCUGCCUGUUUUAAGUUUUUUUUUUAGAUUUUUUUUAGUUUUUUAAAGUUUGUUUUAGAAAUACUAUUCUUUUUCUUCUUUUUUUAGGUUUCUUUAGUUUUUUUCUGCCUGUUUUAAGGUUGUUUUUUAGUUUUUUUUUCUUGUUGUUAUUUAUAUAUAUAUAGGUUGUUCUUUUCUGAAAUACUUUUCCUUCUGUUUUUUUUAUUUUGUUUAUACUAUCCUUUCUCUUUUUUAGUUUUCUUUAGUUUUUUUCUGCCUGUUUUAAGUUUUUUUUGUUUUUUCUAUAUAUUUAGGGUGUUUUUUUUCUCAAAUACUUUUCCUUCUGUUUUUUUUAUUUUGUUUACACUAUCCUUUCUCUUUUUUUAAUUUUCUUUAGUUUUUUGUCUGCCUGUUUUUAGUUUUUUUUUUUUUAGUUUUUUUUAGUUCUUUUUGUAAUAUAUUUAGGGUGUUUUAUCAGAAAUACUUUUCCUUCUGUUUUUUUUAUUUUGUUUAUACUAUCCUUUCUCUUUUUUAGUUUUCUUUAGUUUUUUUCUGCCUGUUUUAAGUUUUUUUUAGUUUUUUUAGUUUUUUAGUUUUUUCUAUAUAUUUAGGGUGUUUUUUUCUGAAAUACUUUUCCUUCUGUUUUUUUUAUUUUGUUUAUACUAUCCUUUCUCUUUCUUUAAUUUUCUUUAGUUUUUUGUCUGCCUGUUUUAAGUGUUUUUUUUUAGUUUUUUAAAGUUUUUUUUUAGAAAUACUAUUCUUUUUCUUCUUUUUUUAGUUUUCUUUAGUUUUAUUCUGCCUGUUUUUAAGGGUUUUUUUAGGUUUUUUUCAGUUUUUUGUUAUUUAUAUAUAUAAACAACCUGUUUUAAGGUUGUUUUUUAGUUUUUUUCUUGUUGUUAUUUAUAUAUAUUAAGGGUGUUCUUUUCUGAAAUACUUUUCCUUCUUUUUUUUCAUUUUGUUUAUAAUAUCCUUUCUCUUUUUUAGUUUUCUUUAGUUUUUUUCUCCCUGUUUUAAGUUUUUUUUUUUUUUUUUUUUUUUCUAUAUAUUUAGGGUGUUUUUUUUCUCAAAUACUAUUCUUUUUCUCCUUUUUUUUAGUUUUCUUUAGUUUUAUUCUGCCUGUUUUUAAGGUUUUUUUUUAGUUUUUUUUCAGUUUUUUGUUAUUUAUAUACACUCACUGGCCACUUUAUUAGGUACACCUGUCCAACUGCUCGUUAACACUUAAUUUCUAAUCAGCCAAUCACAUGGCGGCAACUUAGUGCAUUUAGGCAUGUAGACAUGGUCAAGACAAUCUCCUGCAGUUCAAACCGAGCAUCAGUAUGGGGAAGAAAGGUGAUUUGAGUGACUUUGAACGUGGCAUGGUUGUUAGUGCCAGAAGGGCUGGUCUGAGUAUUUCAGAAACUGCUGAUCUACUGGGAUUUUCACGCACAACCAUCUCUAGGGUUUACAGAGAAUGGUCCGAAAAAGAAAAAAUAUCCAGUGAGCGGCAGUUCUGUGGGCGGAAAUGCCUUGUUGAUGCCAGAGGUCAGAGGAGAAUGGCCAGACUGGUUUGAGCUGAUAGAAAGGCAACAGUGACUCAAAUAACCACCCGUUACAACCAAGGUAGGCAGAAGAGCAUCUCUGAACGCACAGUACAUCGAACUUUGAGGCAGAUGGGCUACAGCAGCAGAAGACCACGCCAGGUGCCACUCCUUUCAGCUAAGAACAGGAAACUGAGGCUACAAUUUGCACAAGCUCAUCGAAAUUGGACAAUGAAGAUUGGAAAAACGUUGCCUGGUCUGAUGAGUCUCGAUUUCUGCUACGACAUUCGGAUGGUAGGGUCAGAAUUUGGCGUCAACAACAUGAAAGCAUGGAUCCAUCCUGCCUUGUAUCAACAGUUCUGGCUGGUGGUGGUGGUGUCAUGGUGUGGGGAAUAUUUUCUUGGCACUCUUUGGGCCCCUUGGUACCAAUUGAGCAUCGUUGCAACGCCACAGCCUACCUGAGUAUUGUUGCUGACCAUGUCCAUCCCUUUAUGACCACAAUGUACCCAACUUCUGAUGGCUACUUUCAGCAGGAUAAUGCGCCAUGUCAUAAAGCUGGAAUCAUCUCAGACUGGUUUCUUGAACAUGACAAUGAGUUCACUGUACUCAAAUGGCCUCCACAGUCACCAGAUCUCAAUCCAAUAGAGCAUCUUUGGGAUGUGGUGGAGCGGGAGAUUCGCAUCAUGGAUGUGCAGCCGACAAAUCUGCGGCAACUGUGUGAUGCCAUCAUGUCAAUAUGGACCAAGCUCUCUGAGGAAUGCUUCCAGCACCUUGUUGAAUCUAUGCCACGAAGAAUUGAGGCAGUUCUGAAGGCAAAAGGGGGUCCAACCCGUUACUAGCAUGGUGUACCUAAUAAAGUGGCCGGUGAGUGUAUAUAUAUAGGUUGUUCUUUUCUGAAAUACUUUUCCUUGUGUUUUUUUAUUUUGUUUAUACUAUCCUUUCUAUCCUUCUAUCCUUUAUCCUAUCCUUUCUUUUAGUUUUUUUAGUUCUUUUUGUUAUAUAUAUUUAGGGUGUUUUUUUUCAGAAAUACUUUUCCUUCUGUUUUUUUAAUUUUGUUUACACUAUCCUUUCUCCUUUUUUUGGUUAACUUUAGUUUUUUUCUGCCUGUUUUAAGGUUGUUUUUUAGUUUUUUUUAGUUUUUUAAAGUUUUUUUUUUAGAAAUACUAUCCUUUUCUUCUUUUUUAAUUUUCUUUAGUUUUAUUCUUCCUGUUUUUAAGUUUUUUUUAGUUUUUUUUUAGUUUUUUGUUAUUUAUAUAUAUAGGUUGUUCUUUUCUGAAAUACUUUUCCUUCUGUUUUUUUUAUUUUGUUUAUACUAUCCUUUCUCUUUUUUUUAGUUUUCUUUAGUUUUUUUUCUGCCUGUUUUAAUUUUUUAUUAGAAAAACUAUUCUUUUUCUUCUUUUUUAGUUUUCUUUAGUUUUUUUCUGCAUGUUUAAAGUUGUUUUUUAGUUUUUUUUUGUUAUUUAUAAAUAUUAAGGGUUUUCCUUUCUAAAAUACUUUUCCUUCUGUUUUUUUAUUUUGUUUAUACCAUCCUUUCUCUUUUUUAGUUUUCUUUAGUUUUUUUCUGCCUGUUUUAAGUUUUUUUUUAGUUUUUUUAGUUUUUUAGUUUUUUCUAUAUAUUUAGGGUGUUUUUUCUGAAAUACUUUUCCUUCUGUUUUUUUUAUUUUGUUUAUACUAUCCUUUCUCUUUCUUUAAUUUUCUUUAGUUUUUUGUCUGCCUGUUUUAAGUGGUUUUUUUUAGGUUUUUUUAGUUACUUUUGUAAUAUAUUUAGGGUGUUUUAUCAGAAAUACUUCUGUUUUUUUUAUUUUGUUUAUAAUAUCCUUUCUCCUUUUUUAGUUUACUUUAGUUUUUUCUGCCUGUUUUAAUUUUAUUUUUUAGUUUUUUUUUGUUCUUUUUGUAAUAUAUUUAGGGUGUUUUUUCAGAAAUACUGUUCCUUCUGUUUUUUUUAGUUUUUGUCUGCCUGUUCUAAGUUUUUUUUUAGUUUUUUUUAGUUUUUUUUAGAAAUAAUAAUCUUCUUUUUAUUAGUUUUCUUUAGUUUUUUUCUGCCUGUUUUAAUUUUUCUGUUUUUUGUUUUCUUUAGUUUUUUUUCUUCAGUUUUUUUUUCCUAUUUUUUUGCCUGGCACCUCUGUCUGGAUGAGCUACUCUUAGUCUGGUCCCUCCCCCAGGACCUGUUUGCCUUGGGUAACCUUUCAGAGGCAUAAAGCCCUGACAACAUAGCUCCUGGGAUCAUUGGGACACACAAACCCCUCCACCACGGUAAGGUGGUAGCUCAAGGAGGGGAAAAAACCCUCACAUGGGAGGGAAAAACCGCAAGGGUUUUUUUUUCUGUCCAAAACAACCGGUUUAGGGUGGGUUUUUGUUCUUUUUUUUCAGAAAUACUUUUAUUUUCUUUAGUUUCCUAUAGUUCUUUUUUAUUUUUCUGCCUGUUUUAAGUUUUUUUUUUCAGAAAUACUGUGAUUUUACUUUUUUUUUUUACUUUUUUUUUUUUUACAAAUACUAUUCUUUUUCUUUGUUUUCUUUAGUUUUUUUCUGCAUGUUUAAAGUUUUUUUUUGUUUUUUUUGUUAUUUAUAAAUAUAAAGGGUUUUCCUUUCUAAAAUACUUUUCCUUCUGUUUUUUUUAUUUUGUUUAUACUAUCCUUUCUCUUUUUUAGUUUUCUUUAGUUUUUUUCUACCUGUUUUAAGUUUUUUUUGUUUGUCUUUUUUGUUUUUUCUAUAUAUUUAGGGUCUUUUUUUCUGAAAUACUUUUCCCUCUGUUUUUUUAUUUUGUUUAUACUAUCCUUUCUAUUUUUUAGUUUUCUUUAGUUUUUUUCUGCCUGUUUUAAGUUUUUUUUUUUUUUUUUUUAUAUAUAUUUGGGGUAUUUUUUCUGAUAUACUUUUCUUUCUGUUUUUUCAAUUUUGUUUAUACUAUCCUUUCUCUUUUUUUAGUUUUCUCUAGUUUUUUUCUGCCUGUUUUAAGUUUUUUUAUUAGUUUUUUUAGUUUUUUUCUGUUAUAUAUAAUUAGGGUGGUUUUUUUUCAGAAAUUCUUUUCCUUCUGUUUUUUUAUUUUGUUUACACUAUCCUUUCUCCUCUUUUUAGUUUACUUUAGUUUUUUCUGCCUGUUUUAAGUUUUUUUUUAGUUUUUAAAAGUUUUUUUUAGAAAUACUAUUCUUUUUCUUCUUUUUUUAGUUUUCUUUAGUUUUAUUCUGCCUGUUUUUAAGGGUUUUUUUAGUUUUUUUUCAGUUUUUUUGUUAUUUAUAUAUAUAUAUAGGUUGUUCUUUUCUGAAAUACUUUUCCUUCUGUUUUUUUUUUAUUUUGUUUAUACCAUCCUUUCUAUCCUUUAUUUCUUUAGUUUUUUUCUGCCUGUUUUAAGUUUUUUUUUUUUUUUUUUUUUUUUUUUUCUAUAUAUUUGGGGUGUUUUUUCUGAUAUACUUUUCUUUCUGUUUUUUCAAUUUUGUUUAUACUAUCCUUUCUCUUUUUUUAGUUUUCUCUAGUUUUUUUUCUGCCUGUUUUAAGUUUUUUUAUUAGUUUUUUUAGUUUUUUUCUGUUAUAUAUAAUUAGGGUGUUUUUUUUUUCAGAAAUUCUUUUCCUUCUGUUUUUUAUUUUGUUUACACUAUCCUUUCUCCUCUUUUUAGUUUACUUUAGUUUUUUCUGCCUGUUUUAAGUUUUUUUUUAGUUUUUAAAAGUUUUUUUUAGAAAUACUAUUCUUUUUCUUCUUUUUUUAGUUUUCUUUAGUUUUAUUCUGCCUGUUUUUAAGGGUUUUUUUUAGUUUUUUUUUCAGUUUUUUUGUUAUUUAUAUAUAUAUAUAGGUUGUUCUUUUCUGAAAUACUUUUCCUUCUGUUUUUUUUUUUUAUUUUGUUUAUACCAUCCUUUCUAUCCUUUAUCCUAUCCUUUCUUUUAGUUUUUUUAGUUCUUUUUGUUAUAUAUAUUUAGGGUGUUUUUUUUCAGAAAUAUUUUUCCUUCUGUUUUUUUAAUUUUGUUUACACUAUCCUUUCUCCUUUUUUUAGUUUACUUUAGUUUUUUCUGCCUGUUUUAAGUUUUUUUUUAUUUUUUUAACGUUUUUUUAGAAAUACUAUUCUUUUUCUUCUUUUUUAGUUUACUUUAGUUUUAUUCUGCCUGUUUGUAAGUGUUUUUUUAAGUUUUUUUUGUUUUUUUGUUAUUUAUAUAUAUAUAUGUUGUUCUUUUCUGAAAUACUUUUCCUUCUGUUUUUUAUUUUGUUUAUACUAGCCUUUCUCUUUUUUUUAGUUUUCUUUAGUUUUUUUUCUGCCUGUUUUAAUUUUUUUUUUUUUUUUUUUGUUUUUUCUAUAUAUUUAGGGUGCUUUUUUCUGAUAUACUUUUCUUUCUGUUUUUUUUUAUUUUGUUUUAACUAUCCUUUCUCUUUUGUAGUUUUCUUCAUUUUUUUCUUCAUGUUUUAAUUUUUUUUUUAGUUUUUUCUAUAUAUUUAGGGUGUUUUUUUCUGAAAUACUUUUCCUUCUGUUUUUUUUAUUUUGUUUAUACUAUCCUUUCUCUUUUUUUAAUUUUCUUUAGUUUUUUGUCUGCCUGUUUUAAGUUUUUCUUUUAGUUUUUUUAGUUAUUUUUGUAAUAUAUUAAGGGUGUUUUAUCAGAAAUACUUUUCCUUCUUUUUUUUAUUUUGUUUAUAAUAUCCUUUCUCCUUUUUUAGUUUACUUUAGAUUUUUCUGCCUGUUUUAAGUUUUUUUAAAGUUUUUUUUAGUUCUUUUUGUAAUAUAUUUAGGGUGUUUUUUCAGAAAUACUGUUCCUUCUGUUUUUUUUAGUUUUUGUCUGCCUGUUCUAAGUUUUUUUUUAGUUUUUUGAAGUUUUUUUUAGAAAUAAUAAUCUUCUUUUUAUUAUUUUUCUUUAGUUUUUUUCUGCCUGUUUUAAUUUUUCUGUUUUUUGUUUUCUUUAGUUUUUUUUCUUCAGUUUUUUUUUCCUAUUUUUUUGCCUGGCACCUCUGUCUGGAUGAGCUACUCUUAGUCUGGUCCCUCCCCCAGGACCUGUUUGCCUUGGGUAACCUUUCAGAGGCAUAAAGCCCUGACAACAUAGCUCCUGGGAUCAUUGGGACACACAAACCCCUCCACCACGGUAAGGUGGUAGCUCAAGGAGGGGAAAAAACCCUCACAUGGGAGGGAAAAACCCGAGGGUUUUUUUUUCUGUCCAAAACAACCGGUUUAGGGUGGGUUUUUGUUCUUUUUUUUCAGAAAUACUUUUCAUUUCUUUAGUUUCCUAUAGUUCUUUUUUAUUUUUCUGCCUGUUUUAAGUUUUUUUUUUCAGAAAUACUGUGAUUUUACUUUUUUUUUUACUUUUUUUUUUUUACAAAUACUAUUCUUUUUCUUUGUUUUCUUUAGUUUUUUUCUGCAUGUUUAAAGUUUUUUUUUGUUUUUUUUGUUAUUUAUAAAUAUAAAGGGUUUUCCUUUCUAAAAUACUUUUCCUUCUGUUUUUUUUAUUUUGUUUAUACUAUCCUUUCUCUUUUUUAGUUUUCUUUAGUUUUUUUCUACCUGUUUUAAGUUUUUUUUGUUUGUCUUUUUUGUUUUUUCUAUAUAUUUAGGGUCUUUUUUUCUGAAAUACUUUUCCCUCUGUUUUUUUAUUUUGUUUAUACUAUCCUGUCUAUUUUUUAGUUUUCUUUAGUUUUUUUCUGCCUGUUUUAAGUUUUUUUUUUUUUUUUUUUCUAUAUAUUUGGGGUAUUUUUUCUGAUAUACUUUUCUUUCUGUUUUUUCAAUUUUGUUUAUACUAUCCUUUCUCUUUUUUUAGUUUUCUCUAGUUUUUUUCUGCCUGUUUUAAGUUUUUUUAUUAGUUUUUUUAGUUUUUUUCUGUUAUAUAUAAUUAGGGUGGUUUUUUUUCAGAAAUUCUUUUCCUUCUGUUUUUUUAUUUUGUUUACACUAUCCUUUCUCCUCUUUUUAGUUUACUUUAGUUUUUUUCUGCCUGUUUUAAGUUUUUUUUUUAGUUUUUAAAAGUUUUUUUUAGAAAUACUAUUCUUUUUUUUCUUUUUUUAGUUUUCUUUAGUUUUAUUCUGCCUGUUGUUAAGGUUUUUUUUUAGGUUUUUUUCAGUUUUUUUGUUAUUUAUAUAUAUAUAUAGGUUGUUCUUUUCUGAAAUACUUUUCCUUCUGUUUUUUUUUUAUUUUGUUUAUACCAUCCUUUCUAUCCUUUAUUUCUUUAGUUUUUUUCUGCCUGUUUUAAGUUUUUGUUUUUUUGUUUUUUUGUUUUUUCUAUAUAUUUCGGGUGUUUUUUCUGAUAUACUUUUCUUUCUGUUUUUUCAAUUUUGUUUAUACUAUCCUUUCUCUUUUUUUAGUUUUCUCUAGUUUUUUUUCUGCCUGUUUUAAGUUUUUUUAUUAGUUUUUUUAGUUUUUUUCUGUUAUAUAUAAUUAGGGUGUUUUUUUUUCAGAAAUUCUUUUCCUUCUGUUUUUUUAUUUUGUUUACACUAUCCUUUCUCCUCUUUUUAGUUUACUUUAGUUUUUUCUGCCUGUUUUAAGUUUUUUUUUAGUUUUUUAAAGUUUUUUUUAGAAAUACUAUUCUUUUUCUUCUUUUUUUAGUUUUCUUUAGUUUUAUUCUGCCUGUUUUUAAGGGUUUUUUUUAGUUUUUUUUUCAGUUUUUUUGUUAUUUAUAUAUAUAUAUAGGUUUUUCUUUUCUGAAAUACUUUUCCUUCUGUUUUUUUUUUUUAUUUUGUUUAUACCAUCCUUUCUAUCCUUUAUCCUAUCCUUUCUUUUAGUUUUUUUAGUUCUUUUUGUUAUAUAUAUUUAGGGUGUUUUUUUUCAGAAAUACUUUUCCUUCUGUUUUUUUAAUUUUGUUUACACUAUCCUUUCUCCUUUUUUUAGUUUACUUUAGUUUUUUCUGCCUGUUUUAAGUUUUUUUUAUUUUUUUAACGUUUUUUUAGAAAUACUAUUCUUUUUCUUCUUUUUUAGUUUUCUUUAGUUUUAUUCUGCCUGUUUUUAAGUUUUUUUUAAGUUUUUUUUUGUUAUUUAUAUAUAUAUAUAUAUAGGUUGUUCUUUUCUGAAAUACUUUUCCUUCUGUUUUUUAUUUUGUUUAUACUAUCCUUUCUCUUUUUUUUAGUUUUCUUUAGUUUUUUUUCUGCCUGUUUUAAUUUUUUUUUGUUUUUUUUUUGUUUUUUCUAUAUAUUUAGGGUGUUUUUUUCUGAUAUACUUUUCUUUCUGUUUUUUUUUAUUUUGUUUUAACUAUCCUUUCUCUUUUGUAGUUUUCUUCAUUUUUUUCUUCAUGUUUUAAUUUUUUUUUUAGUUUUUUCUAUAUAUUUAGGGUGUUUUUUUCUGAAAUACUUUUCCUUCUGUUUUUUUUAUUUUGUUUAUACUUUCCUUUCUCUUUUUUUAAUUUUCUUUAGUUUUUUGUCUGCCUGUUUUAAGUUUUUCUUUUAGUUUUUUUAGUUAUUUUUGUAAUAUAUUAAGGGUGUUUUAUCAGAAAUACUUUUCCUUCUUUUUUUUAUUUUGUUUAUAAUAUCCUUUCUCCUUUUUUAGUUUACUUUAGAUUUUUCUGCCUGUUUUAAGUUUUUUAAAAGUUUUUUUUAGUUCUUUUUGUAAUAUAUUUAGGGUGUUUUUUCAGAAAUACUUUUCCUUCUGUUUUUUAAUUUUGUUUAUACUAUUUUUAGUUUUCUUUAGUUUUUUUCUGCCUGUUUAAAGUUUUUUUUUUGUUUUUUUUUAGUUUUUUUUUAUUUAUAAAUAUAUUUAGGGUGUUUUUUUCAGAUAUACUUUUCCUUCUGUUUUUUUAUUUUGUUUAUACCAUCCUUUCUAUUUUUUAGUUUUCUUUAGUUUUUUUCUGCCUGUUUUAAGUUUUGUUUUGUUUUUUUAGUUUUUUUUUGUUUUUUCUAUAUAUUUAGGGUGUUUUUUCUGAAAUACUUUUCCUUCUGUUUUUUUUUAUUUUGUUUACACUAUCCUUUCUCCUUUUUUAGUUUACUUUAGUUUUUUUCUGCCUGUUAAGUUUUUUUUUAGAUUUUUUUUAGUUUUUUAAAGUUUUUUUUAGAAAUACUAUUCUUUUUCUUCUUUUUUUAGUUUUCUUUAGUUUUUUUCUGCCUGUUUUAAGUUUUUUUUAGUUUUUUGUUAUUUAUAUAUAUUAAGGGUGUUCUUUUCUGAAAUACUUUUCCUUAUGUUUUUUAUUUUGUUUAUACUAUCCUUUCUCUUUUUUUAGUUUUCUUUAGUUUUUUUUCUGCCUGUUUUAAUUUUUUUUUGUUUUUUUUUUCUUUUUUUCUAUAUAUUUAGGGUGUUUUUUUCUGAUAUACUUUUCUUUCUGUUUUUUUUUAUUUUGUUUUAACUAUCCUUUCUCUUUUGUAGUUUUCUUCAUUUUUUUCUUCAUGUUUUAAUUUUUUUUUUUAGUUUUUUCUAUAUAUUUAGGGUGUUUUUUUCUGAAAUACUUUUCCUUCUGUUUUUUUAUUUUGUUUAUACUAUCCUUUCUCUUUUUUUAAUUUUCUUUAGUGUUUUGUCUGCCUGUUUUAAGUUUUUCUUUUAGUUUUUUAGUUCUUUUUGUAAUAUAUUAAGGGUGUUUUAUCAGAAAUACUUUUCCUUCUUUUUUUUUAUUUUGUUUAUAAUAUCCUUUCUCCUUUUUUUGUUUACUUUAGAUUUUUCUGCCUGUUUUAAGUUUUUUUUAAAGUUUUUUUUAGUUCUUUUUGUAAUAUAUUUAGGGUGUUUUUUCAGAAAUACUUUUCCUUCUGUUUUUUAAUUUUGUUUAUACUAUUUUUAGUUUUCUUUAGUUUUUUUCUGCCUGUUUAAAGUUUUUUUUUUAGUUUUUUUUUAGUUUUUUUUAUUUAUAAAUAUAUUUAGGGUGUGUUUUUCCGAUAUACUUUUCCUUCUGUUUUUUUAUUUUGUUUAUACCAUCCUUUCUAUUUUUUAGUUUUCUUUAGUUUUUUUCUGCCUGUUUUAAGUUUUGUUUUGUUUUUUUAGUUUUUUUUGUUUUUUCUAUAUAUUUAGGGUCUUUUUUUCUGAAAUACUUUUCCCUCUGUUUUUUUAUUUUGUUUAUACUAUCCUUUCUAUUUUUUAGUUUUCUUUAGUUUUUUUCUGCCUGUUUUAAGUUUUUUUUUUUUUUUUUUCUAUAUAUUUGGGGUAUUUUUUCUGAUAUACUUUUCUUUCUGUUUUUUCAAUUUUGUUUAUACUAUCCUUUCUCUUUUUUUAGUUUUCUCUAGUUUUUUUCUGCCUGUUUUAAGUUUUUUUAUUAGUUUUUUUUUAGUUUUUUUUAUUUAUAAAUAUAUUUAGGGUGUGUUUUUCAGAUAUACUUUUCCUUCUGUUUUUUUAUUUUGUUUAUACCAUCCUUUCAAUUUUUUAGUUUUCUUUAGUUUUUUUCUGCCUGUUUUAAGUUUUGUUUUGUUUUUUUAGUUUUUUUUGUUUUUUCUAUAUAUUUAGGGUGUUUUUUCUGAAAUACUUUUCCUUCUGUUUUUUUUAUUUUGUUUACACUAUCCUUUCUCCUUUUUUAGUUUACUUUAGUUUUUUUCUGCCUGUUAAGUUUUUUUUUAGAUUUUUUUUUAGUUUUUUAAAGUUUUUUUAGAAAUACUAUUCUUUUUCUUCUUUUUUUAGUUUUCUUUAGUUUUUGUCUGCCUGUUUUAAGUUUUUUUUAGUUUUUUGUUAUUUAUAUAUAUUAAGGGUGUUCUUUUCUGAAAUACUUUUCCUUCUGUUUUUUUUAUUUUGUUUAUACUAUCCUUUCUCUUUUUUAGUUUUCUUUAGUUUUUGUCUGCCUGUUCUAAGUUUUUUUUUCAGUUUUUUGAAGUUUUUUUGGAAAUACUAAUCUUCUUUUUAUUAGUUUUCUUUAGUUUUUUUCUGCCUGUUUUAAUUUUUCUAUUUUUUGUUUUCUUUAGUUUUUUUUUUCUUCAGUUUUUUUCCCUAUUUUUUUCCCUGGCACCUCUGUCUGGAUGAGCUACUCUUAGUCUGGUCCCUACCCCAGGACCUGCUGCCUUGGGUAACCUUUCAGAGGCAUAAAGCCCUGACAACAUAGCUCCUGGGAUCAUUGGGACACACAAACCCCUCCACCACGGUAAGGUGGUAGCUCAAGGAGGGGAAAAAACCCUCACAUGGGAGGGAAAAACCGCAAGGGUUUUUUUUUCUGUCCAAAACACCCGGUUUAGGGUGGGUUUUUGUUCCUUUUUUUCAGAAAUACUUUUCUUUUCUUUAGUUUCCUAUAGUUCUUUUUUAUUUUUCUGCCUGUUUUAAGUUUUUUUUUUCAGAAAUACUGUGAUUUUACUUUUUUUUUUUUUUUUUACAAAUACUAUUCUUUUUCUUUGUUUUCUUUAGUUUUUUUCUGCAUGUUUAAAGUUUUUUUUUAGUUUUUUUGUUAUUUAUAAAUAUAAAGGGUUUCCCUUUCUAAAAUACUUUUCCUUCUGUUUUUUUUAUUUUGUUUAUACUAUCCUUUCUCUUUUUUAGUUUUCUUUAGUUUUUUUCUACCUGUUUUAAUUUUUUUUUGUUUUUGUUUUUUCUAUAUAUUUAGGGUCUUUUUUUCUGAAAUACUUUUCCCUCUGUUUUUUUAUUUUGUUUAUACUAUCCUUUCUCUUUUUUAGUUUUCUUUAGUUUUUUUCUGCCUGUUUUAAGUUUUUUUGUUGUUUUUUUUUGUUUUUUCUAUAUAUUUGGGGUGUUUUUUCUGAUAUACUUUUCUUUCUGUUUUUUCAAUUUUGUUUAUACUAUCCUUUCUCUUUUUUUAGUUUUCUCUAGUUUUUUUUCUGCCUGUUUUAAGUUUUUUUAUUAGUUUUUUUAGUUUUUUUCUGUUAUAUAUAAUUAGGGUGUUUUUUUUCAGAAAUUCUUUUCCUUCUGUUUUUUUAUUUUGUUUACACUAUCCUUUCUCCUCUUUUUAGUUUUCUUUAGUUUUAUUCUGCCUGUUUGUAAGUGUUUUUUUAAGUUUUUUUUUGUUUUUUUGUUAUUUAUAUAUAUAUA